UACGGGGGGGAGCAAGCGUUGUUCGGAUUUACUGGGCGUAAAGGGCGCGUAGGCGGCCACCGCAAGUCGACUGUGAAAUCUCCGGGCUUAACCCGGAAAGGUCAGCCGAUACUGCGGGGCUAGAGUGCAGAAGGGGCAACUGGAAUUCUCGGUGUAGCGGUGAAAUGCGUAGAUAUCGAGAGGAACACCUGCGGCGAAGGCGGGUUGCUGGGCUGAUACUGACGCUGAGGCGCGAAAGCCAGGGGGAGCGAACGGGG
rnacentral:rRNA from 1 species